rnacentral:rRNA from 1 species
CUAGCAUAUCAAUAAGCGGAGGAAAAGAAACUAACAAGGAUUCCCAUAGUAACUGCGAGUGAAGCGGGAAAAGCUCAAAUUUAAAAUCUGGCAGUCUUUGGCUGUCCGAGUUGUAAUCUGGAGAAGUGCUUUCCGCGCUGGACCGUGUACAAGUCUCUUGGAAUAGAGCGUCAUAGAGGGUGAGAAUCCCGUCUUUGACACGGACUACCAGUGCUUUGUGAUGCGCUUUCAAAGAGUCGAGUUGUUUGGGAAUGCAGCUCAAAAUGGGUGGUAAAUUCCAUCUAAAGCUAAAUAUUGGCGAGAGACCGAUAGCGAACAAGUACCGUGAGGGAAAGAUGAAAAGCACUUUGGAAAGAGAGUUAAACAGUACGUGAAAUUGCUGAAAGGGAAACGCUUGAAGUCAGUCGCGUUGUUCAGAACUCAGCCUGGCUUUGGCUUGGUGCAUUUUCUGAAUAACGGGCCAGCAUCAAUUUUGACUGUUGGAUAAAGGCCAGGGAAAUGUGGCUCCCUUGGGAGUGUUAUAGUCCUUGGUUGCAUACAAUGGUUGGGAUUGAGGAACUCAGCAUGCCUUUAUGGUCGGGGUUCGCCCACGUUCAUGCUUAGGAUGCUGGCGUAAUGGCUUUAAACGACCCGUCUUGAAACACGGACCAAGGAGUCUAACAUGCCUGCGAGUGUUUGGGUGGAAAACCCGAGCGCGCAAUGAAAGUGAAAGUUGGGAUCUCUGUCGUGGAGAGCACCAAUGCCCGGACCAGACCUUCUGUGACGGUUCCGCGGUAGAGCAUGUAUGUUGGGACCCGAAAGAUGGUGAACUAUGCCUGAAUAGGGUGAAGCCAGAGGAAACUCUGGUGGAGGCUCGUAGCGAUUCUGACGUGCAAAUCGAUCGUCAAAUUUGGGUAUAGGGGCGAAAGACUAAUCGAACCAUCUAGUAGCUGGUUCCUGCCGAGUCCUCCCUUCCCAGAAUAA